CCCUUAGAUGUUCUGGGCCGCACGCGCGCUACACUGACGAAGUCAGCGAGCAUGUCCUACGCCGACAGGUGCGGGGAAUCUUGUCAAACUUCGUCGUGAUGGGGAUUGAUUAUUGAAAUUCUUGAUCAUCAACGAGGAAUUCCUAGUAAGCGCAAGUCAGCAGCUUGCAUUGAUUACGUCCCUGCCCUUUGUACACACCGCCCGUCGCACCUACCGAUUGAAUGACUCGGUGAAAAAUUGGGACCGUGAGUCUGUUUGCUUCAUUGCGAGUGGAUUGAUGGGAACUUUUUUAAACCUCGCCAUUUAGAGGAAGGUGAAGUCGUAACA
rnacentral:rRNA from 1 species